rnacentral:rRNA from 1 species
UACGGAGGGGGCUAGCGUUGUUCGGAAUUACUGGGCGUAAAGCGCACGUAGGCGGCUUUGCAAGUCAGAGGUGAAAGCCCGGGGCUCAACCCCGGAAUUGCCUUUGAGACUGCAUCGCUAGAAUUGUGGAGAGGUAAGUGGAAUUCCGAGUGUAGAGGUGAAAUUCGUAGAUAUUCGGAAGAACACCAGUGGCGAAGGCGGCUCACUGGCCCGGUACUGACGCUGAGGUGCGAAAGCGUGGGGAGCAAACAGG